UACGAAGGGUGCAAGCGUUACUCGGAAUUACUGGGCGUAAAGCGUGCGUAGGUGGUUCGUUAAGUCUGAUGUGAAAGCCCUGGGCUCAACCUGGGAAUGGCAUUGGAAACUGGCGACCUAGAGUGCGGUAGAGGGUAGUGGAAUUCCCGGUGUAGCAGUGAAAUGCGUAGAGAUCGGGAGGAACAUCUGUGGCGAAGGCGACUACCUGGACCAGCACUGACACUGAGGCACGAAAGCGUGGGGAGCAAACAGG
rnacentral:rRNA from 1 species